rnacentral:lncRNA from 1 species
AAGGGCAACAUAAAAUACAGUGGUCAGGGAAGGCUUCUGUUCUAAGACGCUUUCAGGCAGGGAACAAUGUGCUUUUUGAAGGUCUAUGUGAUAGAAACAGAUACUAAGUAUUUGCAUAGUGUUUGCUUGGGUCAGGCACUGUUCUAGGUACUUAACAUAUAUUAAUGUAUUUAAUCUUCGCAAUAGUCCUGGGAGAUAGAUUCUGCUAUUCUCCCCAUUUGGCAGAUAGAAAAACUGAGGCACAGACACGGUAAGUAACUUAUCCAAGGUCAGAAGUAGCCAGUCAGUCUGGCUCCAAAGUUUGUGCUCUAACCACUGUUGCCUGUCAUGUAAGUCCACCAUUGGAAGCAUUCCAUUUUACCGAAAUCAAGGAAGUAUCUUGAGAUGUACUGCUAUUUCAGCCAGCUGAGGAAGACACUGUACUCUCCCCUCUCUAUAUACACUUCCUGUCCUCCCUGAUGAUAACAUUUGAAUAGCACUUUUUACUUACAAUCACUUUUAUAUGCAUUUUUAUUGGAACACUAUCUAAGUUUGAUGAAUCAGGUAUAAGCAGACAAGGAGGGUCUCCAACGAUUAUAGGAAUUUAAUCAACUUGAACAAUCAGCCUGUUUUACAGCCUCCUGCCCUUCAGCCUGUUUUUCCCCAAACUCCAUGUGGAAUGCGGUCACCUUGUUAGUUGGAACCAGCUCCUGACAGAUCCUGGCAAUUUAUAGAUGAGCCCAAGUGAACAUUCCUCAUGACCAUGCUGAAGUUUCCACUCCAGGAGGAGCCACAGCUUCACUACCAUAACAUACAACCUAUGUGCUGGCAGAAUGACUCACUGCCUCUGCAUCACUGGGACCCCUUCUCUACAUGCAACAAUGUGCCCUCUCUCCUAUCCAUCACUCCAUUAAACCCUCCUGCCAUUUUCCCUCAGGGAAAUGCUGCUUUGGAAAAUACUCCCAGGGUUCUCACUUGCACCAAGUAAUAAAACUCUUACUGAUGAUUGAUGAAAACCUGUGUUCUCGUGGAGAGUCUUUUGUUACUUGCCAGGUGAGUGAACUCCAGUUUUUUGUUUUUGUGUUUUUCUUUUUUCUGGGUGACAUAGGCUUUGCUGUUAUCCUCAUUUAGCAGAUGAAGAAACUCAGACUUGGAAAGAUUAAGUCAUGUAUUAUCCCAUGGCAAUAAGCAACAGAACUAUGACUUGCCCUUAGAUCUGCAAGAGCUUACUCUUGGCAUAUAGCCCACAUCUAGCAGGGGCUCAAAAAAGGUAUGUUGAACUGGACACAAUGUGCUUCACCAGCUCUCAGCUGGGUGACCCCUUUGUAGAGAUGCUGAAUAUCUUCCCUGAAUAUGGUAUUGUCUCCCUUGAGGAUGCCAAUUCUUCAAAUGGCUUGACAAACUCACGUGGGUGUGCCAGAAGGCUAGCUGCUCAGACCUCCCCAUGGAGGUGUAAAUAUUUUAGUCAGUGGCAGGAAUAGUACUAUGAAUAGUCUUAUACCCAUGAAUAAUGCAAUCCCCUUCCUUUUCUCAACCAAAUGACUUUAGGACAUAUGGGGCCGAGAACAUGAUGCAGAUAUGAGGCUGGAUUAUGUACAUCAUUAGCCCACCUCCUAUGGUGAUGGAAUUUGUCACCCCCACAAGCGCUUUUCCAUUUGCUUUCAGAGGCUCAUCCUUGGUCUUACAUGAUGGAUUUGCUUUUCAGUUAUGGAGGACAGUGCCCUGGACUGGGCAUACUUCUCAGGGUAAACCUUGUUUCUUAAUGUGACUUCUUUUAAUGUUUUUACAUUGGAAGGGGGCCAGGGCUGGAUUUUUUUUCUUUCAGGGACCACAGGUUCUGACUUCAGGAGCCCAAGGAGAGCUCCUCCUGCCAGCAGCAGUAUUGUUCUUGGCCAAAUUUGGGUCUAGUGGAGAGUUUGAGAGAAGUUUGCAGAAUGGAUGGGGCAGAACAUGGGGGCCCAAGGCCCUUAGUACAGAGUGUUGGGGCUGGUAGCUGAGUAAUGAAAAGGCAUAGGUGGUGAGAUGGGAAGCCAACUCCUUAUUUUUAUAAUUAAAAAGUAUAUAAUUUAAAAUUAUAAAAGUAUGCUUAUUUUUACCUAUCUUGACUCUCCCUGCCACAUCUUUAUACUGUGGAUUUGAUUGCAAAAUGUGGCAUCUCUUAAUGUAAGAACCACAAUAAUAUCUUGCACAGAUUCCAUUCCCACUGAUCAUCUGGAAUGGUCUUCAUGGAAGCCCUGAGGUAAGCAGGGAUGGGGUGCUGACCUUGAUCCACAGGAGAUGAGGAUUCUGAGAGUCAGGGAAGUUAGGGGGCUUGCCCGAGGCUCUGCAGCAAGCAAAUAAUAGACAAGUGUUCAAAGGGAAGUGCUUGGACUCCCAGUUCAAUAUUGCUCAUUUUUUCUUUAAAAAGGUGAGUACAGGUGUGGAUGUUCCCCCCUCCCCCAACCCUGCCUCCUGCUUUAUGAGCUCUCUGCAACUGGCACCAGGUGCCCACACUAACUCACCUCACCCUCUUUCCUGUUCUGCCCCCAAGCCUCAGUCUGGGAUUUUGAAGCUGUUGUGUUGCCUCCAUUCCAGAAAGCUUGGCCCACCAGCCCCAAGAUAGCAAGCUUGGUUGAAUCUUCCUCAAGGAGAAACACUUCCCCUCCAUGUUCUGAUCUGCAGAGUGGUGGAUGCUGCUUUUCUGCAGGCACAAUGGACAGAAAUGUAGGAUACUUGAUGAGCACCUCUUGAUAAAAGUGAGAGCUCCACUUGGAAAACAGAGUGAUGAGGAGGAUUCAGAUCUGCUUACUCUGAUCCGU